rnacentral:rRNA from 1 species
UACAGAGGGUGCAAGCGUUGCUCGGAAUCAUUGGGCGUAAAGGGCAAGUAGGUGGUCUCAUUUGUCUUGUGUGAAAUCCUUGGGCUUAACUCAAGAAGUGCGCAAGAAACGGUGAGACUAGAGUUCUGGAGAGGGUCGUGGAAUUCCCGGUGUAGCGGUGAAAUGCGUAGAGAUCGGGAGGAACACCAGAGGCGAAGGCGGCGACCUGGACAGAUACUGACGCUGAGGCGCGAAAGCUAGGGGAGCAAACGGG